AUACGUAGGGUGCAAGCGUUAAUCGGAAUUACUGGGCGUAAAGCGUGCGCAGGCGGUUUUGUAAGACAGAGGUGAAAUCCCCGGGCUCAACCUGGGAAAUGCCUUUGUGACUGCAAGGCUAGAGGACGGCAGAGGGGGUUGGAAUUCCGCGGGUGAGCGUGAAAUGCGUAGAUAUGCGGAGGAACACCGAUGGCGAAGGCAAUCCCCUGGGCCUGUACUGACGCUCAUGCACGAAAGCGUGGGGAGCAAACAGGAUUAGAUACCCUGGUAGUCCACGCCCUAAACGAUGUCAACUGGUUGUUGGGUCUUCAUUGACUCAGUAACGAAGCUAACGCGUGAAGUUGACCGCCUGGGGAGUACGGCCGCAAGGUUGAAACUUAAAGGAAUUGACGGGG
rnacentral:rRNA from 1 species